UCUAUUCCUUUAGGAAUUUUUCUCUCCAUACCAUUGUUACAUAUAGUUCUUAACAUCUCUACCAUACCAUACUUCUCAUUUCUGCAUUCAAUUCCUUAAUUCUUGAUACACUAUACACAAAUCUUAUAAUGGCCAAAAUUUCAAACCAUGUCUUUCUCAUCGAAAUUGCCUUUGGUUAUGUUCUUUUGUUCCCUUAAAAUCAAUAUCUGGUUAAUGUUGUGGCGGAGAGAACAGUGAGAUACAGAGACAGAUCGAUUUGGCUGCAGGGGAGAGUAAGAAGUUUUUCAUUGCUUUUUGUGCCUAAACUUUUAUAUACAUGAUGAUCAUGGUUAACUCCUGAGACUAUGAUAUUAAAUGGACAGUGGAAUAUAAUGAAAGUUGCAUUUAUAUUGAUUAAUUGGUUUCAAAAUGUAAGAGAAAUAAGGCUUAGUAUUUAAACCCAAACAUUUUGAAAAAAUGCAUUUCAUCUUAUUUUGAAAAAUGCAAAUAAUUGGACAUUAGUGAUUAGUGUUGAAAACUUAAUGUCGUUGUCUUUAUUUGAAGAGCCAUCCAAGAAUAUUCCUCUGCGUGAUGCAAAAGAACAAUCCUCACCGCGCUACGGUUGUGCUAGUGAGCUCCGGAGGUGCACCUGGCCCUGUUUCUGAGGUGUCACAGGACCUACAUACAGUAUUUGCCAAGAAAUUGUGAAUGAGUAGGAACUUCUAACACAUGAAAACAUCAAAUAUUUGCAUAAACUUAUUUAUAAGUUUGAUAUAUCAUAUAUAAACAUCAAAAUAAUUCAAGAUCCAAGUCAGUGGCUUCUUACACAAAGAUCAAAUGCUAAGGCCCCCAAUAAAUAACAAUAACAUCUAAAAAAACACUAUUUCCUACUUCCUAUGUUUAGAUCUUCGAAAGUAAUCUAACUGAAUGUUGUAUCCAUCAUGCCCUAACCAAGGUUGCUUAGUUUUUGCGCGUCAUAUGAUAUCAAAUGCUUCUCCUCUUCCAUACGCCCGAGGCUUUCCUACCAUAACUCCAAGUGAAAAAGCGAAAUACAAAAAUAAAAUGAAUUUGUAAUGCUCAUAAGUGAAUUCAUAUUAAUAAAUAAUGGCAUGACACAAAUAGCAAUAGGCACCAACAAAACAAUGUUGAGACUACAUGGAAGGAACUUUAUGCAAGUAUGAGGAAACCAAAACAAAGCCCAUAAGAAAACACAUAGAUCAAGUAAUGUGUCAUUUAUCUUUCAAUUUUUCUACUAAAAUAUUCUCAGAUAAUGAAUUUCAUUUUAUGAGAAUCAAGUUCAGCUAGAAUACUACUGUAUCAUUGGCCAAUAUAUAAUCGAUUAUCAAUAAUUCACACAAACUAUUAAUCAGUGCAUACUGCAUAAUGACAAGGAUACAUAAACAAUGAAUGAAUUAACAUAAAUUCAAAUAAGUGAAAUUCUAAGAGAAACUUACUCUCAAUGGACAGAAA
rnacentral:lncRNA from 1 species